rnacentral:rRNA from 1 species
GGAUUAGAUACCCUGGUAGUCCACGCUGUAAACGAUGGAUGCUAGAUGUUGGUUUCAUAAGGAAUCAGUGUCGCAGUUAACGCAUUAAGCAUCCCGCCUGGGGAGUACGGUCGCAAGAUUAAAACUCAAAGAAAUUGACGGGGACCCGCACAAGCGGUGGAGUAUGCGGUUUAAUUCGAAGCUACGCGCAGAACCUUACCAGCUCUUGACAUGGGACUUUCGGGCUUAAGAGAUUAAGUUCAUCACUUCGGUGGGGUCCGCACAGGUGCUGCAUGGCUGUCGUCAGCUCGUGCCG